ACCCCUGUGGCCGACAGGAUAAGGCGUCUGAUUCCUAAUCAGUUAAAUGUUGGUUCAAAUCCAGCCAGGGGUGCCA
rnacentral:tRNA from 1 species